rnacentral:rRNA from 1 species
CGCGUAGGCGGGCCUCCCAGUCCGGGGUGAAAGCUUUCGGCUUAACCGGAAAAGUGCCUUGGAUACUGGAGGUCUUGAGGGAGGUAGGGGCAGCCGGAACUUCCGGUGGAGCGGUGAAAUGCGUUGAUAUCGGAAGGAACGCCGGUGGCGAAAGCGGGCUGCUGGAUCUCUUCUAACGCUGAGGCGCGAAAGCCAGGGGAGCGAACGGGAUUAGAUACCCCGGUAGUCCUGGCCCUAAACGAUGGGUACUGGGUAGGGGACUUGACAUGGGUUCCCUGCCGCAGCAAAAGUGGUAAGUACCCCGCCUGGGGAGUAUGGUCGCAAGGCUGAA